rnacentral:rRNA from 1 species
UACGUAGGGUGCAAGCGUUGUCCGGAAUUAUUGGGCGUAAAGAGCUCGUAGGCGGUCUGUCGCGUCGGCUGUGAAAACCUGGGGCUCAACCCCGGGCUUGCAGCCGAUACGGGCAGACUAGAAUUCGGUAGGGGAGACUGGAAUUCCUGGUGUAGCGGUGAAAUGCGCAGAUAUCAGGAGGAACACCGGUGGCGAAGGCGGAUCUCUGGGCCGUAACUGACGCUGAGGAGCGAAAGCAUGGGGAGCGAACAGG